rnacentral:rRNA from 1 species
GAACCAGCAACUUGGAGGAAUGUAUAGUGAAAACUACUUGCAAAGAUUAUUUUGCAAGAUUGACUCAGUUGAAUAAAAUUCUGAGUGAAAUUAUGAUAAUGACAUUAUUUACUCAUGUGUCUUGACUAAAAUACGUGCCAGCAGUCGCGGUAAUACGUAGAAGACUAGUGUUAUUCAUCUUUAAUUGGUUUAAAGGGUACCUAGACGGCAAAUCAAGCCUUAGCAGGCACUAGUUUGCUAGAGUGUUUUGUGAGGGGGCAUUAAUGUACUAAUGGUGUAGAGAUAAAAUUUCGUCAUACCCCUUUUUGAACGAAAAGAUUUGGCACUGGUAUAGGCGAAAGCAUCCCCUUAUGGGAA